AUACCACAUUUUCUUUUAUUUGUUCAUCUGUUGUGGACACUUAGGUUGCUUCCAUGGCUUAGCUAUAGUAAAGAAUGCUGCAUUGAACAUGGGGGUGCAGACAAUCUUUUCAAGUUAAUGUUUUCUUUUCUUUUCUUUCUUUUUUUUUUUCAGAUAAAUACCCAGAAAUAGAAUUGGCUAGAUCACCAGAAUCUUUAGAGUGAAUGAAAUCAGACUAAUUUAUGGUAUUGAAACUAAAGGAAUGAAUUUUAACUGACUGCCUGUGUACCUAAUUCUAGUCCUUUUCAGCCUUGUGCUGUUUGUAGUUGUGAAAUUUUUGUGAAAUUUGAAAGAAUUAAAACCAAGAUUUUGUAAAGGGUAUACAUUUAUCAUGAAUAAUAUCCAUAUAUGUGAAAUAUUCAUGACUGUAUUAGCAUACAGAAAUGAAGUGUAGAAAAUUAUAACUUUUUAUUGAUAAAUGACUAUAGGGCAAGAAAGUAUAUUACGUUAUUGUGAGAUGCUCAGGCGCACUUUUGGAAUCAGCAUGACCUUUUUUUUUUUUUUAAAUUUUUUGGUGGCUUAAGACUAACCGUAUAAAAUUAGCAGUUACUUGGUAGGGAUAUUUUGAUAUGACUUAAGGAAGCAAAAUAAAGUAAUAUUCCAAGUCAGAAGUCAGUCUUCUGUUUUUCUUAGCUUUUUGAAACCCAGUCUCAAUUGAAUUGAGAAGUGAAACAGGUUUCUUAGUCCUGGAGAAAGUUGUCAUAAAACCAUACACAAAGUACUUCUGUACUUUGAUUCAAAAUCGUAAUAUCCCCUAUUUAGAGUAUUAUUUAAUGGCUACAUAAUUUUCAAACUAGAAUCUGUUGGAAGCACUGGGAAGUGAAAAAGAGUAUCAUG